ensembl:rRNA 5S_rRNA 5S ribosomal RNA
AUUUACAGCCAUACCACCCUGAACGCACCCAAUCUUGUCUGCUCUCAGAAGCUAAGUAGGGUCGGGCCUGGUUAGUACUUGGAUGGGACACCUAGUGGUUUAAAACAAGCUACUCUGAACC